rnacentral:tRNA from 8 species
GGAGACGUGCCAGAGCGGCCGAAUGGGGCUCCCUGCUAAGGAGUUGACUUACUUGCGUAGGUCCGGAGGUUCAAAUCCUCUCGUCUCCGCCA